UUAAGCGACUAAGCGUACACGGUGGAUGCCCUGGCAGUCAGAGGCGAUGAAGGACGUGCUAAUCUGCGAAAAGCGUCGGUAAGGUGAUAUGAACCGUUAUAGCCGGCGAUGUCCGAAUGGGGAAACCCAGUGCAAUUCGUUGCACUAUCGUUAACUGAAUACAUAGGUUAACGAGGCGAACCGGGGGAACUGAAACAUCUAAGUACCCCGAGGAAAAGAAAUCAACCGAGAUUCCCCCAGUAGCGGCGAGCGAACGGGGAGCAGCCCAGAGUCUGAAUCAGCUUGUGUGUUAGUGGAACGGUCUGGAAAGUCCGACGGUACAGGGUGAUAGUCCCGUACACCAAAAUGCACAGGCUGUGAACUCGAAGAGUAGGGCGGGACACGUGGUAUCCUGUCUGAAUAUGGGGGGACCAUCCUCCAAGGCUAAAUACUCCUGACUGACCGAUAGUGAACCAGUACCGUGAGGGAAAGGCGAAAAGAACCCCGGCGAGGGGAGUGAAAAAGAACCUGAAACCGUGUACGUACAAGCAGUGGGAGCACCUUCGGGUGUGACUGCGUACCUUUUGUAUAAUGGGUCAGCGACUUAUAUUCUGUAGCAAGGUUAACCGUAUAGGGGAGCCGCAGGGAAACCGAGUCUUAACUGGGCGUUAAGUUGCAGGGUAUAGACCCGAAACCCGGUGAUCUAGCCAUGGGCAGGUUGAAGGUUGGGUAACACUAACUGGAGGACCGAACCGACUAAUGUUGAAAAAUUAGCGGAUGACUUGUGGCUGGGGGUGAAAGGCCAAUCAAACCGGGAGAUAGCUGGUUCUCCCCGAAAGCUAUUUAGGUAGCGCCUCGUGAACUCAUCUUCGGGGGUAGAGCACUGUUUCGGCUAGGGGGUCAUCCCGACUUACCAACCCGAUGCAAACUACGAAUACCGAAGAAUGUUAUCACGGGAGACACACGGCGGGUGCUAACGUCCGUCGUGAAGAGGGAAACAACCCAGACCGCCAGCUAAGGUCCCAAAGUCAUGGUUAAGUGGGAAACGAUGUGGGAAGGCACAGACAGCCAGGAUGUUGGCUUAGAAGCAGCCAUCAUUUAAAGAAAGCGUAAUAGCUCACUGGUCGAGUCGGCCUGCGCGGAAGAUGUAACGGGGCUAAACCAUGCACCGAAGCUGCGGCAGCGACACUAUGUGUUGUUGGGUAGGGGAGCGUUCUGUAAGCCUGCGAAGGUGACCUGUGAGGGUUGCUGGAGGUAUCAGAAGUGCGAAUGCUGACAUAAGUAACGAUAAAGCGGGUGAAAAGCCCGCUCGCCGGAAGACCAAGGGUUCCUGUCCAACGUUAAUCGGGGCAGGGUGAGUCGACCCCUAAGGCGAGGCCGAAAGGCGUAGUCGAUGGGAAACAGGUUAAUAUUCCUGUACUUGGUGUUACUGCGAAGGGGGGACGGAGAAGGCUAUGUUAGCCGGGCGACGGUUGUCCCGGUUUAAGCAUGUAGGCUGGUUGUCCAGGCAAAUCCGGAUAAUCAAGGCUGAGGUGUGAUGACGAGGCACUACGGUGCUGAAGUAACAAAUGCCCUGCUUCCAGGAAAAGCCUCUAAGCAUCAGGUAACAUUAAAUCGUACCCCAAACCGACACAGGUGGUCAGGUAGAGAAUACCAAGGCGCUUGAGAGAACUCGGGUGAAGGAACUAGGCAAAAUGGUGCCGUAACUUCGGGAGAAGGCACGCUGGUGUGUAGGUGAAGUCCCUGCGGAUGGAGCUGAGACCAGUCGAAGAUACCAGCUGGCUGCAACUGUUUAUUAAAAACACAGCACUGUGCAAACACGAAAGUGGACGUAUACGGUGUGACGCCUGCCCGGUGCCGGAAGGUUAAUUGAUGGGGUUAUCCGUAAGGAGAAGCUCUUGAUCGAAGCCCCGGUAAACGGCGGCCGUAACUAUAACGGUCCUAAGGUAGCGAAAUUCCUUGUCGGGUAAGUUCCGACCUGCACGAAUGGCGUAAUGAUGGCCAGGCUGUCUCCACCCGAGACUCAGUGAAAUUGAACUCGCUGUGAAGAUGCAGUGUACCCGCGGCAAGACGGAAAGACCCCGUGAACCUUUACUAUAGCUUGACACUGAACAUUGAGCCUUGAUGUGUAGGAUAGGUGGGAGGCUUUGAAGCGUGGACGCCAGUCUGCGUGGAGCCAACCUUGAAAUACCACCCUUUAAUGUUUGAUGUUCUAACGUUGGCCCCUUACCGGGGUUGCGGACAGUGUCUGGUGGGUAGUUUGACUGGGGCGGUCUCCUCCUAAAGCGUAACGGAGGAGCACGAAGGUUAGCUAAUCCUGGUCGGACAUCAGGAGGUUAGUGCAAUGGCAUAAGCUAGCUUGACUGCGAGCGUGACGGCGCGAGCAGGUGCGAAAGCAGGUCAUAGUGAUCCGGUGGUUCUGAAUGGAAGGGCCAUCGCUCAACGGAUAAAAGGUACUCCGGGGAUAACAGGCUGAUACCGCCCAAGAGUUCAUAUCGACGGCGGUGUUUGGCACCUCGAUGUCGGCUCAUCACAUCCUGGGGCUGAAGUAGGUCCCAAGGGUAUGGCUGUUCGCCAUUUAAAGUGGUACGCGAGCUGGGUUUAGAACGUCGUGAGACAGUUCGGUCCCUAUCUGCCGUGGGCGCUGGAGAAUUGAGGGGGGCUGCUCCUAGUACGAGAGGACCGGAGUGGACGCAUCACUGGUGUUCGGGUUGUCAUGCCAAUGGCACUGCCCGGUAGCUAAAUGCGGAAGAGAUAAGUGCUGAAAGCAUCUAAGCACGAAACUUGCCCCGAGAUGAGUUCUCCCUGAGACUUUAAGUCUCCUGAAGGAACGUUGAAGACGACGACGUUGAUAGGCCGGGUGUGUAAGCGCAGCGAUGCGUUGAGCUAACCGGUACUAAUGAACCGUGAGGCUUAACCUU
rnacentral:rRNA from 1 species